GGGUCUAGUUGUUUUUUAUUUUGUGCCAUAUUAGUACAUUGGAGAAACAGUGUGUAGAAAUGACGUAUUGCCCGGGAGGAUGUUUUCUUCCUCUAGCAGUGCUUGGGGCACCGGCAGUGUGGGAUCAGCUCAUUCUAACCCUAGGGAUUAAUACGAUCAGAGCAGGGCUGUGGCUCUUUUGAGGUUUGCUCUAGUGACAGCUCACUUUUACUCCUACAAGGUGGCCAUUCAGAUUCUUCCCCCAAGUUGAGGGUGCUCAAAGGACCCUGCAAGACACUGUCUGUUGCCCCAGGGCAGUCACCUCGCAGGAAUGGUGCUUCAUCCCAGGGUAGGGGCAGCUCCUGUGCUGCUGUUUCCUCCUGUACGCUGGCCCAAAAUUGUCGCUGUCUGCUCUUAGAAUAUGACCCACUCCUUUCAUAAAGCUGAGUUCAAAUCCCACAUCCCAAUUUAAAAAAAAAAAUCAUGUUAUAAGCAACACUAACAACAAAUCCACUUUUCUGUCAGCCCUGCCCACCUCCCCAUCUUCCUUUCUGAGACAUGCAGCAUUUCUCUGCAACAAGCAAAAUUUUGUAUGUGCAAACACACCCUCCCACCCCAAACUUUAUUUUAGUCUCUGUGUCUUGGUUAAGGUGUCUUCCUCGCAGUGCCUGCCACCUUGCGGUCGAGCCCAGCUGGCAAAUGAAGCUGAGCUCCAGUUCUGCCUGAUGCACCACCCCAUGCCUUGGUCUUCUGCUGGAGGCUGGGGGAGGUGAGCACUGGCCAAGGACCAGCCCUCUGGUUCUGUCCACAUCGGCUUGAUGCCCAUUCAGGGGUUGCAAGUUCUCCUGGUCUGGAUCUAUUAGUUGAAGAAAUUGCCACCUCGUAAUUUCAAAUUAGUGGGAAUUAAAAAUUUAAUGGGAUGUAUGUAUUUUUUGGAUCAUAUGAAACUAUGUUUUAUGUGGUAUUUAAUGUGAGUUUAAAUAUGCUUACUAAAUAUGACUUUUGUUAAUAUCUCAGUUGAUGCUCGUGCGAAAAAAGUCUGCCUUUCUACCUUUCUUUCCUACCUUUCUGCCAAACCCAGUCCUUUUACUAAUAUUUUAAAGUAUUGAUUUGAAGCAGCAGUGUGGUUGCUUCUGUCUGGGUUUGAACAAGUAACUGAAUUUUAAUUCCUGAGACCUCUUACAUAUAGCAAUUGUCUUGGCUGUUGUAGGAAGGCAGCACCCUCAUUCCUCUGAUUUAGCUCUCUUUGAUUCUACAGGAAGUUGUUGCCACUGUCUCUUUUUAUUAAACUAAAUGCCAGAAUUCUUUCAUGUCAUCAUAAGAUGUUAAUGCAUAUUGCUUUGGGGACCAAAGUCAUACAAUUAGAAACCACUCAAAUGCUUUUUUAUUCUAAUUCUGAGGUUACCAAUUCCUUAAAAUUAGUAAAUUUUCACUGAUUUUGCAAGCCAGUUGUAAAAAAAAAAAAUAGUAUAAACUCCUCACUGACGGUAGUUUGGAAGCUGCAUUGUUUGGAUGUGAUGUUUCAGUGCCACACACGUUAGCGGUGGGAACUGGAAGCCAGUCACGAAUCGGCUAUCUGCUUCAGGGAUCUGGCUUUGCACUCCUGCCCCUGCCCCUGAAGUGGCUCUAGGGACAGCUGUGGUUUGAGUGGACUCUUGCUCCUUCCUGACCUCUUAAUGGCCACAUGGACCCCCUUGCUUAUCUUUGAGAGCAGGGCCUUGCUGAGAGAGGCACUGCCCAGGAGAAGUAUGAGGCAUCGUGGGAGCAUUUAUCAGAGUCAGAGGAGGCUUCUUUGAGAGGUAGCUUUUAAAUGAGAUCUGAACCACGUGGAACAAGUAAGAGCUCACGAGUGCCUGUGAAGAAGGACCCCACCUUGCACUUGGGGGACCCGAGGAGGACCUGUGUGCUUGCCGUGCAAAGCAGCAGGACAGAGGACCCAGCUGAGGGCCAGGCGGGAGCAAGGGCCCAGCACACUGGGAGGUUUGAGAGGGUGUCAGGAGGCCAUUUGGAUGGAGAAGCCACGGGCAACCAGAGGAGUUUCGUCUCGAGUCCUCACCCUGGCUGUAGUGUGGUGAGCACCAGGUCCCUUUUCCUUAAAUCAAAACCUGGUGGAUUUCAGGGGCAGGCGCUGCUCAGUUGUGGCCUCUGCAAGGUCCCGGCCAUGUGUCACCAUUGAGUAGCUGCUACCUGGCACUGCGCCGGGCUCUCAUGAGCACAUGUGAGUGAGGGAGGGAAGGGGCUCCAUUGGCUGAGCAGGGUGCACCCUACCUCUCCUGUAACUCCCAGGAGUGGCCGUCCCACACCCAGAUGGGGAGUCGGGGUGAAGCCACCAUCCUGUGCGUGAAUCAAUGGAAGGCAAGGCUGGACUCACCCCCGCCUUUCCCCAGGGCAUUGGGCCGGAUGUUACUGAGCCUCCUUCACUUCCUCUUCCCUGUGGCCGCCCCCCGACCUUCAUUUCCUUGGUAAUGGGACACUUUGGCCGCUGUCAUGGUUGGCCAGGCUCGGUGUGGGCGGCACCCACCAGUUCCUUCUGUGAACAUACAGGUUGAUGGCAACAGCGCUGGGGCCAUGGGGAUGACUGCGGGGAGAAGGGCUCAUGGCAGAGCAAGCGCAGUGGACCCUCUCCCUCUGGCCAGUGUUCUUCUGUGAAGAGGUGCAUCUCUGCGUCUCUGCGGCGUACUCUGCGAGGGUCCCUGUGGAAGUGGCUGAGAUCAGCAAGACGACGU
rnacentral:lncRNA from 1 species